AGUAAGUGAUUUUUCAGCGAUGGUUUUGUUACAUUUUUAAAUUAUAUAACCAGGUUCCUGUUAUAUUUAAUGCAUAUGGUAUUCUAAACUUUGUUAUCUUAGUUGACAAAAAUACCCCUCCACAUUUCAAACCUUUUUUCACCCAUAAAAAAGAUUAAUUGGCAUGUAUAAUCAAUAUAAAUGGCAUAUCGAGGAUAAAAGAUGGAAAUCAAUAGAUUUGAAAUUGUUUGAACUGGUUCACCUGGAGCUUCAUUAUCAUAUCAAUUGUCAGGUUAUAAUCAUCCUAAUUUCUUAAUUUCUAUGAGUUUAAUUUCUUUAUAAUUUUAAUAUUUUAUAUCUACCCAAUUGUUUUAUAUUUUAAGUGCAAAAUUCAAUUUGGGCUAAAAAAUUAGAGGAAAAAAUCAGAGGAAUAUGCUUUAAAGUAUGACAUCGUUUAUUGCGAUAUUUGUGUUUAUGGCCAUGAUAUUUAUUCCGAUAUUUGUGUUUAUGGCCAUGAUAUUUAUUCCGAUAUUUGUGUUUAUGGCCAUGAUAUUUAUUCCGAUAUUUGUGUUUAUGGCCAUGAUAAUGGCACAUACAUUUGUGAUAUUAAGGGAUCGAUACCAAAACAAGUUUCAUUAUUUUGUUGCUAAAUUUUGGGCUUCUAUGACAAUCACUCCAUUUUUUAGACUGAAAUUUCAAGGUUCCAAGAAUCCACCCCCAUAAGAUUAUCUUGUUGUUUACUUGUCUAACCACCAAACUUUUUUGGACAUAUAUACCCUUUUGACUCUAGGGUGAAACUUCAAAUUCGUUAGCAAUAUGUAUUCUUUAUGUAUUAUGUAUUCUUUUUCUUUUGUUC
rnacentral:lncRNA from 1 species